ACAGCUUUAGAUGAAUGGAUGGCCUUUACAUUUGGAUGGCCCUUUAGAAGUGACACAUUGAAUUUGAAGGGAGCAUCAUUUAUGGAAGGAAUCUUGUAGCUUCCAGGCCCACACGUAUACAAGCAGCCAGGUGGUAUCCACUUGUGAGCUAAGUCUCCCCACUUAAGUUCUUCCAAGGCUACCCACCCCAAACCUUGUAUAAAUGCUCCUUCAAU
rnacentral:misc_RNA from 1 species